GACGAACGCUGGCGGCGUGCUUAACACAUGCAAGUCGAACGGUGAAGGGGCCUGCUUUUGUGGGCCCUGGAUGAGUGGCGAACGGGUGAGUAACACGUGAGUAACCUGCCCCCUUCUUCUGGAUAACCGCAUGAAAGUGUGGCUAAUACGGGAUAUUCUGGGUCUGUCGCAUGAUGGGUCUGGGAAAGAUUGCGCCUUUGGGUGUUUUUGGUGGGGGAUGGGCUCGCGGCCUAUCAGCUUGUUGGUGGGGUGAUGGCCUACCAAGGCGGUGACGGGUAGCCGGCCUGAGAGGGUGGACGGUCACACUGGGACUGAGACACGGCCCAGACUCCUACGGGAGGCAGCAGUGGGGAAUAUGGCACAAUGGGCGCAAGCCUGAUGCAGCGACGCCGCGUGAGGGAGGGAGGCCUUCGGGUUGUAAACCUCUUUCGCCAGUGAAGCAGGCCUGCUCCUUGUGGGUGGGUUGACGGUAGCUGGAUAAGAAGCGCCGGCUAACUACGUG
rnacentral:rRNA from 1 species